UACAGAGGGGGCAAGCGUUGUUCGGAAUUACUGGGCGUAAAGGGCGCGUAGGCGGCCCGCUAAGUCGAACGUGAAAUCCCACGGCUCAACCGUGGAACGGCCUCGGAUACGGGCGGCCUCGAGGGGGGUAGGGGCAUCUGGAACUGUGAGUGGAGCGGUGAAAUGCGUUGAUAUUCACAGGAACUCCGGUGGCGAAGGCGAGGUGCUGGACCCCAUCUGACGCUGAGGCGCGAAAGCCAGGGGAGCGAACGGG
rnacentral:rRNA from 1 species